UACGUAGGGGGCUAGCGUUGUCCGGAUUUAUUGGGCGUAAAGAGCGUGUAGGCGGCCAGAUAGGUCUGCUGUGAAAACUCGAGGCUCAACCUCGAGAUGUCGGCGGAAACCAUUUGGCUAGAGUCCGGAAGAGGAAAGUGGAAUUCCUGGUGUAGCGGUGAAAUGCGCAGAUAUCAGGAAGAACACCCGUGGCGAAGGCGGAUCUCUGGGCCAUUACCGACGCUGAGGAGCGAAAGCGUGGGGAGCGAACAGG
rnacentral:rRNA from 1 species